rnacentral:lncRNA from 1 species
GUAGCAUUAAGGUUGGAACUCCUGUGAUGACCCAUAUGAAAUCUGCCUACUGCUUGACGAAGUAAUUUGCCUACUCUUCUGUGAUCUCGCCACAUUUCCUAAACUGAGCUAGGAGAACAGAGAGAACUCCCCUCCACACAAUUCCCCACAACAGUUCUCCAGCCAAAUCCUAUAACAAGUUAGCCAAAAGAAAAUAAAAAUCAGUUAACGUGCUCCCUGACAGCUUCCAGGGUGAAAGCAGAGGAAUGAAGGAAUAGGAUGUAAAGCAAGAUAGGAUAGAAUAGGAUGUAAAGACACUAAGGUUUUAAUUCAAAUCCCACCAGCUCCCACAGCCCACAUGAGACCUCUCAUACACAGAUGAGCUGCAGCGUCUGGUGUUACUGCCCCAGUGGGAUACCCAGCCCCUGGGCCUGGGAGGUUUGAGCCUUUGUGAAUCAUCUGAGUGCUGCAGCUCACAGAGAUGGCAAGCAAAAGCAAACUUCCCUCUUUUUGAACCGCAGUGAUUCACGAGCAUCUCAGCUGUCUGAAAAGCAGGGUGGGGUAGAAAGCUGUGAGCAGACACUCUGUUUGCUGAAUGCCACCCUACUUGUGAUGGAAGCGUGUGUAGCCGUGUUACCUCGGUGUCCUGACAGUAUACCCCUCCUUAACACAUGCUUACCUCCUCUUCUCUUUGUUAUACAGCCCCAGGCACUGGUCUGUUUUAGCAAGUGUGUAGCCACAGGCUGAGGGAAGUAACUUUUGCCCCGUGUUGACCAUUUGUCAGCCUGUUUUGGAAUCUCCAUACGUGGAGAUAUUUAACACUUGAUUGGAUGCACUUUGAAGUCAUACCCUGUCUGGACCAAGAAGUUGGACCAGACGCUCUCCAGAGGUCUUUACCAACCUCAUUUACAUGGUGUGGGUCACCCCUUCACCACAUACUCAAAAGUGACUUCACAGAGCAGAAGAACUCACAGCAAAACCAUCAUCACGUACUUCUCUGUGCGGCUUCCUCAACAUGUGACGAGAAGAAUUCAGAGGGAUGCUUGCCAAGUGCUUCCUGACCCAAAUCCUAGAGGUAUCCUCCAUCUGCAGCAACAGACAGCUCACUGUGGUCUGUCAUUACCUUCUGUUUGGUUUUCAACACCAGCUAUCCUAGCUAAUGAAAGAAGAUGCAACCACUGAAGACAAUGGUCAGACGAAUGUUAGCAGCAUUUCUGGGAAGCUUUGAGGAAGACUCCUCUGCCCUUGCACAGGCCAAAAUAUAGAACAGUAAUAACAGUCAUAACUGAGGCAUGCAUACACAAGCGUGCUGCUUUAGCAAACGAGGUGAGCUCAGCUGCUGUGAAAACAAGCCCUACAAAGUCUGGUGGAGAGGAUUUAGGGACCAGAGAUGAAGGGCAGAGCUAACUGUUCACUUUCUGUCACAGCACCACACCUACCUACCCGGCCCCUAUCUGACGGCAAUAAAUUUCAUUGCCUGAAACGGACA